rnacentral:rRNA from 1 species
UACAGAGGGGGCAAGCGUUGUUCGGAAUUACUGGGCGUAAAGGGCGCGUAGGUGGCCUUCUUAGUCAGACGUGAAAUCCCCGGGCUUAACUCGGGAACUGCGUCUGAUACUGGAAGGCUGGAGUUCGGGAGAGGAAUGUGGAAUUCCAGGUGUAGCGGUGAAAUGCGUAGAUAUCUGGAGGAAUACCGGUGGCGAAGGCGGCACCCUGGACCAUUACUGACGCUGAGGCGCGAAAGCUAGGGGAGCAAACGGG